CCUACGGGAGGCAGCAGUGGGGAAUAUUGCACAAUGGGCGAAAGCCUGAUGCAGCAACGCCGCGUGAGCGAUGAAGGCCUUCGGGUCGUAAAGCUCUGUCCUCAAGGACGAUAAUGACGGUACUUGAGAAGGAAGCCACGGCUACCUACGUGCCAGCAGCCGCGGUAAUACGUAGGGGGCUUGCGUUAUCCGGAAUUUCUGGGCGUAAAGGGUUCGUAAGUGGUUUCUUAAGUCAGAGGUGAAGGGCUACGGCUCAACCGUAGUAAGCCUUUGAAACUGGGGAACUUGAUUGCAGGAGUGGAGGGUGGAAUGCCUAGUGUAGCGGUGAAAGGCGUAGAUAUUAGGAGGAACACCAGUUGCGAAGGCGGCUCUCUGGACUGUAACUGACACUGAGGCACGAAAGCGUGGGGAGCAAACAGGAUUAGAUACCCGGGUAGUC
rnacentral:rRNA from 1 species